rnacentral:tRNA from 5 species
AGAAAGAAUGCAAGAACUGCUAAUUCCUGUCCUCCGUGUUUAACCCCACGGCUUUCUU